UACGUAGGGGGCAAGCGUUGUCCGGAAUCAUUGGGCGUAAAGCGCGCGUAGGUGGCCUCAUAAGUCCGCUGUGAAAGUCAAAGGCUCAACCUUUGAAAGCCGGUGGAUACUGUGAGGCUAGAGUACGGAAGAGGCGAGUGGAAUUCCUGGUGUAGCGGUGGAAUGCGCAGAUAUCAGGAGGAACACCAAUAGCGAAGGCAGCUCGCUGGGACGUUACUGACACUGAGGCGCGAAAGCGUGGGGAGCAAACAGG
rnacentral:rRNA from 1 species